rnacentral:rRNA from 1 species
AUGUUCUCGUCUCCUUCCAGCGCCAAUCUUCCCUUUGCGACGUCGGCUACCACUCGUGGCAGAGCGGCUACUUCCCUCCCCACUGUGCCAGCAGCUAGCGCUCGUUCGCCCCCUAGCCUGUUCUUACGUUGUUGUCUUCAGAAGUUCAGGUCGCUGUUUGUUGUUAGUUCAAAACGUCCCGCGUGCACGUAUCCGGUGGUGCUUGACUGCACAGCACCCGAUGGAAGCCGUGAGCUGUCGACGCUGGCACAACACCCGAUGGAAGCCGAAUCAAUUGUAGCCAACGCGAGGAGGGAUUAG